rnacentral:tRNA from 1 species
AGCCUCCGCCAGGAAUUGAACCUGGAUUUCUCGCUUACAAGACGAGUGUAAUAGCAUUAUACUACGGAGGC